GACAGAGGUGCCAAGCGUUAGGCGGAAUCACUGGGCUUAAAGCGUGUGUAGGCGGACUGGUAAGUACCUUGUGAAAUCCCACGGCUCAACCGUGAAACUGCUCGGUAUACUGCUCGUCUUGAGCCACUUAGGGGCUGUCGGAACAAACGGUGGAGCGGUGAAAUGCGUAGAUAUCAAGAGGAACACCUGCGGCGAAGGCGGGUUGCUGGGCCGACACUGACGCUGAGGCGCGAAAGCCAGGGGAGCGAACGGG
rnacentral:rRNA from 1 species